CAACCACUAUACGGUGUCCAAAAAUUAGAAUUACUUGCUAUUACCGAAGCUGUCAAAAGUAUGUGGAAGGGUGGUAAUGUUGAUGGAGUUGCUUGCGUUCCUUUGCUGCUCAGGAGCUGAAGUGUUGAACCAGCACUGACGAGCUCUUCUGGACAGGGAAAGCUGAAUGCAAGGCUGGACAUAAGUGUAGUCAUUCUAUAAAGUUAUGUAGGAAUUUGAGAGGGGAAAGAAAUCCCAAUAAGGGCAGAGG